GACGAACGCUGGCGGCGUGCGUAACACAUGCAAGUCGAACGAGAGAGUGAGAGAAGCUUGCUUUUCUUACAAUCGAGUGGCAAACGGGUGAGUAACGCGUAAACAACCUGCCCCGCAGAUGGGGACAACAGCUGGAAACGGCCGCUAAUACCGAAUACGGUCCUCUUAGCGCAUGGUAAGAGGAAGAAAGGGUGGCCUCUGGAACAAGCUACCGCUGCGGGAGGGGUUUGCGUCUGAUUAGCUGGUUGGAGGGGUAACGGCCCACCAAGGCGACGAUCAGUAGCCGGUCUGAGAGGAUGAACGGCCACAUUGGAACUGAGACACGGUCCAGACUCCUACGGGAGGCAGCAGUGGGGAAUCUUCCGCAAUGGAGCGAAAGCCUGACGGGAGCAAACGCCCGCGUGAGUGAAGACGGGCCCUUCCGGGGUUGUAAAAGCUCUGUUAUAAGGGGACG
rnacentral:rRNA from 1 species